UACAGGGGGUGCAAACGUUGCUCGGAAUCAUUGGGCGUAAAGCGCACGUAGGCGGUCUGUUAUGUCGGAUGUGAAAGCCCUCGGCUCAACUGAGGAAGUGCAUCCGAAACUGGCAGGCUAGAGUACUAAAGAGGGUCGCGGAAUUCCCGGUGUAGAGGUGAAAUUCGUAGAUAUCGGGAGGAACACCGGUGGCGAAGGCGGCGACCUGGGUAGAUACUGACGCUGAGGUGCGAAAAGCGUGGGGGAGCAAACAGGG
rnacentral:rRNA from 1 species